CCUACGGGAGGCUGCAGUGGGGAAUAUUGGGCAAUGGGCGCAAGCCUGACCCAGCAACGCCGCGUGAAGGAAGAAGGCUUUCGGGUUGUAAACUUCUUUUAAGAGGGAAGAGCAGAAGACGGUACCUCUUGAAUAAGCCACGGCUAACUACGUGCCAGCAGCCGCGGUAAUACGUAGGUGGCAAGCGUUGUCCGGAUUUACUGGGUGUAAAGGGCGUGCAGCCGGGAAGACAAGUCAGAUGUGAAAGCCCGCGGCUCAACCGCGGAACUGCCUUUGAAACUGUUUUUCUUGAGUACCGGAGAGGUCAUCGGAAUUCCUUGUGUAGCGGUGAAAUGCGUAGAUAUAAGGAAGAACACCAGUGGCGAAGGCGGAUGACUGGACGGCAACUGACGGUGAGGCGCGAAAGCGUGGGGAGCAAACAGGAUUAGAUACCCUUGUAGUC
rnacentral:rRNA from 1 species